UUAGCCAGGUGUGGUGGCACAUGCCUGUAAUCCAGCUACUAGAGAGUCUGAGGCAGGAAAAUCGCUUGAGCCUGAAAGGCGGAUGUUGCAGCGAGUCGACAUCGCGCCACUGCACUCCAGCCUGGGCGACAGAGACUCUGUCUCAAAAAAAUAAAUGAAACAAUCACAACAGAAACAUUCCCUUAUUCACUGAACAUUUCAAACCCUGAAAAUGUGUAAUGAGAAAUGACAAAUUUUUAAAAGUUUAAUUACUAAGAAGACAAAAAAUGUCUAUUAUGAAUAGACCAAUUCUCAAUUGGUAGAGAACUUUGAACUGGAAAGAACCCUAAAGAAAUCUCCUGUCUACCCCUGUUAUUACAGAUUAGAAACCGAAGUCCAGGAAGGUUGAGCAGGCAAGUCUCCAGGCUGAGUUCCUGAUGUCCAGGCUGGAGGUGUUUCUUCCCUGACCCUUCCCCUGCCUACCCUGGCCACUGAGAAGGGCUGAACAGGAGCUAAAUCUGGAGGGUACAAAUGUUAUUUCCCUUGUUCUUUAAGAUUACCACCAAAAAGGGAAAAGAAAAAAAGCCCCACAAUAAACUACUCUCUGAAUUUUACCCAGGACCAUAGAGAAAUAUCCCUGAAUUUCACCACUAGCACUAUAAUAUCAAACUAGUGAUCAAGUAUAAUCAUAAAGCUUCAGUUUGCUUAGGAAGUCUAUGAAACGUGAUUUUAGGUCUUGCGUCUAUUUCAAGAUUUAUAGUUUUGAGUAUGAAAAGAUUCAACCCUCUAAGUGGAAUAUGACCCUGUAUUUUGAGUGUAGGCUUCCGAGUGCCAAGCACAAGGAGGCAGUCAAGUAGGGAGUCUCAGAAGGUCACUUAUAAGACUUGGGUAUUCAAACAUCAGUCAGAGUGGAACUUCUCAGCAAAAGAGAGGCCCUGUAAUAACAUGCUCCCUCAGUUGACUAGACGUCCUACAAAUGCAAGAAAGGUGGGAAUAUGGAGACCCCAGGCCAGGUCCUGCAAAUGCUUUGCAGUUUCUGAGUAUGAUGCUCUAUAGCUUGCAGCUGGAGGCACCUUUGUCUCUAAGCUUCUGCCAGCACCAGACAACUGGGUUGAAGAUCUAGUGCAGUUACAGAUGAGCAAGUGUGUUCCUGGAACAUGUAGGUCAGCUGUGGAGUAUAUGACUUCAGUGACAGUUUCUUGGGCAAAUCUCUAUGAUAGUGUAACUGUGACAGUAUAAAUGACCUAAUUCUGUGUCACACUGAAAUAACCUGCAGAACAAGGGUGGCCAGGGCCGCUGCCCCCACUGCCGUUUCUGCCCCAGAAGGAUUCUCUAAUUUCCUUUCAUGUGACCUGUUCCCUUUUAUUAGCUCUGCUUCAACAGAAGGAGCCACUCUGUGUGUCCCAUAUGGGCAAUUCUCAGUCAGCAUUUCUGAAUUGUAAGCUUAUUUAUUUUCUGUAGAAAUGCCUUUCCAGGGAACAUAGAACUGUAUAACUACAUUAUGUCAUUAAUCCUCAAAACAUAUCCAAGAAGUGGUAAAAUUACCUAGAAUAAAGAAGAAUACAUUAAAAUGCAAAUAUGAUUCUGUAAAUGGAUCUCUAAAAGUUGGUAGAUCUUUUCAAAGGUGCUGUGAUCCACCUUUAUGCCUGCAAAAUCGCAGAGACUCGGGCUAACCCUUAUAUUCUCUAAAGGCACUAAAGAUCUAUCUUGUCCCAACUGGGGACAAAUUUCAGCAGCAGGAAUGGUCACCUUCAACUGGAAUAUGCAGGCUGGGGCCCCUGUGUGCAGCCUCUGUGACCAGCCCAGUUCCUUACUUCCACACAGCUCCCUCCUAGGAAGCAUCUUGCCCUCAGACCACCUGAGCACCCACUUCCCACUGCGCUGAAAGCUGAGAUGGUGGUGUUCCGAGCACAGCUGGACCUGAGUGAGCUCCCCCGUGCCCCAUGAGGAUUAUGCAUCUGCUGUGCAGGAAAUCCCAGAGAACACAGGGUGCAUCUCAGUUUGGACUAGCCAUAUUUCAAGUAGCCACAUGUGGCUGAUGGCCACCGUAUGGGGCAGCACAGGUCUAUACUGCAUUUGGGUAGAGGUAACGUAAAUGUCAAAGGUAUGAGGUGUGUAACUUUAAGGCUGGCGGGAGGCCAUAUUGUAGCAGGAUGUAGGUGCCAUAGCAUCUUGGCAUUACUCUCGUCCCAAGAAAAAGCCGCAGAAGUUUAUAAAAACCCAUUGGGCUAAGGGGAGAACUUCAAGGGCAGCUGCAUAGAGAAAGAAAUGAAGAUGUGUGUUUGCUAGAUCCUGAGUGUUUCAGCCAGAGACUGUAUAGGGAAUGAUAAUGGAGGCAUGUGCUAGGAGAAGCAGGCAAGGGCCGUGAUACAAUCUGCAGCCCUGAUAUUAUUAUGUUUGUGCUAUUAAUCUAAUAUUUCUACCCCCAUUUUUCAAGAAUGUUUGCAGGGUGGUUCCAGUGAGCCCAUAGAUGCAGAAUAGCCAGGAGCUGGGGCAGGAGGUGGGGAGGAUUACAUAAGGAGCAGUGUUCCCCAGAGCUUCAACGGGAAUGCACAGUCCUGUUAGCCACUGGUCAUGACACUUGCUUUGUACUGGGAAUGGAGUGGGGGUUGAGUGUGCACAAGACCUUAGCAUCCAUUAUCUCCUUGAUGGUUCCUCACACCCUGAGCCUGGGUAGUUUUACCUGCCUCCAUCAUGAACGUCUUGUGAAAGAGCACGACUAAAACCAGAGCACUCAGAGCGAGGUUCACUCAAGAAGGAAAAUGCAGGGGCCUGUCCAGUGAUGAUGUUUGAAGCACACUGGCACCUUUAUGGCUGUUGCUUUUUUGCUUUUGGCAAUGUCUACAAACACUUGGGCUCUUUUUAAUAUAAUUAGGAAACAUGGCAUAAAUUGAAUGCUGUCUAAAAAUGAGUGGUUUAAGAUUGUCUUUCAUAUCAAAAAGAAAAACAGUUGUAUAGGCUGCCAUGCAUAUCUGCCACCAGAGAAAUCGCAUUUUCCAAAUGUUUUGUUUUUUUUAAUAUCCUUUAAGAAGUACAUUUUUCAAAUAGUUGCUAUUAUUUUAAUUAAUCAGUAAAAUCAGCUUCUAAUUUGACUAUAAAAUUAUCAGUUCGCCAUUAGAAUAGCUAUAAAGUUAGUUUUAAAUGUGAGCUCUUUCAAAAUUGUGCAGCAUAGGAUUUAUGUGAAAUGGUAUUUUAAUUACUUUAUUCAUUCUUUGUGAGGAAAAUGAACUUUCAUUUCUCAUGGCAGUAUUUCAUUGUGAUUAUUGGUUACUCAUAAUUAUAUGUACUUGUUCCUGUGACAGGGAAUAAGCAGCGUUUUCUACAAUAAUAUGCAUGAGACUCCCUAAUAUUUUCUAAAUUAGUUUGUAUGUUUAUAUUCUUAGUCCUCACAACAAAUAGCUAAUUGCUUUAAAUUAAAUAAAACCUCAAGCUUCCUCAACCAAAUUCUAGUUUAUUUUUAACUUUCCCUUUGAGAACCAGGAGAUAAUGGAGUAUGGUGAUAAAUAUUUUUGAAGCAAAUUUUGCAUUAGGAUGUUGGAGUUAGAGGUUAUCAUGUUGAUGGAGAAGGCUAAUCCUACAGCUCUUCAUUUUCUCAUCAGUCUUACUACAUCUGGGAGUUGGUGUAUUCUCUAUUCAUUACUUACUGCCCUAGCAAGAUUCUUCCUGACCCAUUAAAUGAAGCCCUAGACAAAGUGGAGAGAACAUUGUUUUAGUGAGGUCGAGCACACACAGGUGUUAUUAGCCGGUCUUAAGAGAGGUGCUUUUUACUUUGAGCAAAAAAGCCAAAUUAAUCAUUUCAUAUCUAAGGCUUUUAAGUUUAAUUAAAUCUUUUUCAUCCAUUAUUUAUUGACUAGAGCUGGUUGUUUUGGCUUUAUAUAACCUUAGUUUUGGAAUAGAAAGUGAGGAAGAAAAACCAGUCAAAAUGGUGAGUUAAAUCCAUACCGAAGGUUGCAACUCUUUGUGUUACAUGGUGAAGUGCAGGAUUAGAGGAUAAUAUAACACACAAUGCAGGGUGAUAAAGCUGCCUUUUGGUGGGUCCCUUGAACACCACAUACUUAGCAAAAAUAGAACCUUUCCUUUUUUCUGAUCAAGAAUAACUGUAAACAUUUUUUUUUGGAAGUUGCAGAAAUGAAAGCCUGAAUUUCUAUAGUAGGCUAGUGUUAUGAUCAAUAAGUCAUUUUAGUUGACUAAAAGAUAGCAUAGUCAACUUGUCUACUGAAGGGUAACAUAUUUUUUAACAACUUUAUAUUUUAUAAUUUGGCAGCACUGUUCCUUUCUAUUUUGCACUUUGAGGGAUGGGGAUUCUGGCAUGUUGGUGUGACUUUUCCGAUUCUGGGAGAUAGAAUGGCAACUGGAUUCUCCUAUCCCCGUAACUAAGAUGGUGGUUUCAGCAACCAUCUGUUUUGGUCUCAAUGUGAAAGGCAGGCAAAACUAUGCUGACAAAUUUUGUUAGAGAUCCUCUCCCCCAGUUGCAAACUUAAAGGACACUCCUGAAUACUCAGUUUUACAAAAAGGCACAAAGGGGAGGUAAUAAUAAUAAUACUUAUAAGCCAAGUCUGAUAGGUAGGAAAUAAAAGAGAAAUCUAAAAACAAAUACAGGAUAUAAAAAUAGAUCCAUCACAAAUAUUUUUGACCACCUACUAUGUGUCCUGCAUAUGUGUCACACAACAUAUAUAUAAAAGGAUGGAUAAUGAUAGGGUAUUUCUUCCUCAUUAUAUAAUACUUGCCUAAUGAAAUUAAAAUUUAAUUUCAGCAUAUAAAUGUUCAUCUUUUUUUAAAAAAAAAUCAACAUGUAGAAUUUCAAACCUAUAAAAAUAUUUAAAAGGGAAAGUUAAUUAAUUUUGUACAACUUGGCUUUUUAAGGUAUUAUAUGUAAAGCACACAAUGCCUGGCACAGAGUAAAGCCACAGUAAAUGGUGAUGCUACCAUUGUUUACAUUGAUUUAUGAAUGUUUAUGCUAUGUCCAAUCCCAAGUAUAUAUACUGGCUAAUACUAAGCUGUAGAAUGACAUACAACUCCAUCAGUCAUUCUGAAUGCCUGGGAAGAAAAAGACAGAGCAGGACAAAAUUCUACCACCAGCAUGAAAAUCAGGGAAAUUCUCAAAUCAGAGAAAUAUUCUCUUGCCAGAAGUAGGUGUUAGAAGUAGCUGGGAGUAGAGACAGAAACAACAAAAAAAAACAGGUUUUUCUGACUGCAAUCAGAGAAUUUCUAGGCAUCAACUCCAGGAUCCAAUAUGCUGAAAAACUACUCUUCUUCUUAGUCAUGUUUUCACCUGAAGUUUGUGACACAGGUUGUUUAAUUUUCUGUAUAUAUAUCCAAUAUUAUAGUAUGAUAUAGACUUUACUUUCCAUAAACCUUGCCUUGCAGCUAACUUUACUGGAAUGCAUUUAUUCUGUGAAGUUGAAAAUAUCCUAUUGAAAAAUGCAGCUCUCUGCCAUGCAUUGAGGAAUUCGAAAGCUGUGACAGAAAAUUUGUGCCAAUGGCAUUAGGAAUCACAUGUUAUGAAACUGUCAGCAGGGGAGCUUAGGGAGUCACCCUUUUCCCACUGAUGACUUCUGGGCUGCAUGCUGCCACUGUGGCUGGCUUAUGCUCCUGGAGGCCCCAUCAGGGCCCAGCGUGACUAUGGUUGGCCUCCCUAGCAGGAAAUGUUAAAGCCCAUGUUAGUGACAGAGUCUGUUGUCCUCUCCUGCUAUGCCUUGACCCAACUCUGUCUUCUGUUUUCACUCCCUUGCCCUGUUAUUUGGUCAGGACAGACUGCCAAAAAAAGUGUUUCUCAUGCUUAGCUCCCGGAUCCUUUCUGUGGUCGUCAGGCUUAUCAAAUGUCUUUUAGAUUUGAAACAGAAACCCAAUUAAGCCCAAAAUUGAGCAUAGAUAAUAUGAAGCUGCUCUGAGUCAAUUGAGGUGGGGAUCUGGAGCCUUACGACCAAUUCUUCCUCAGUUCCUCACAUGGCUGCCCCUAUGGGAGGCCAGCAAAACCCCCAGGAUCCAGGGAGCACAGUUUAAAACCAUUGCCCAAAAGCACUUUAUAUAGAAGCAUGGCCAAUUUUCUAAGAAUCCGUGGAGAAAUAGCUCCAACUGUAGAAUUUAAGUUCUUUUCAUAAGCACCCAUAAUGCGUGCUGCCUUCUAACGGGACCCUAGCUUUUGUGUACCCCAAGAUAAUUAUAUAAGCAAAGGUCUAUCAUGAACAGAAGAAAAGAAGAACAGAGCAAGCUUUUGGAAGUAAAGCAAGGUCUUUACUUGCCUGAUUCAGAACUGUCUUAAGUCUCCCGCCCGUCCUGUGUCCUGAAGGCUGUAGUUAUGGUGGAAUAGGAGUAGAAAAGGGGUAAAAGUCCUUGGGGAACAAGGGAAACCAAAUCAGCAAGGUCCAGAAGUCAAAGCCAAGUGAAAGAGGAGAGUUGUGGGCACAGGUGCAGAGCAGAACACAAGAGGAGGCCAGAGCACAAGCAUCAGGUUCCAGUCCGACCAUUCCCUCCACAGCACAUGGACAGGCCUGGGAAGGGGCAGUCCUCACGCAGUUUAGAGUCAGAAGAUUGUUUCACUCUCUUCACUUCUAGCCCUUGGCUUCUACAUCCCCUUCCUCCACAAAGGAAGGAGCUCCUGUCUUCCUCCCCAUACCACCCUCUUUUACAGGGGGCACCCAGAGAAGGCUGAGCAGGUGGUGUCCAGGCUGGCUUCUUGGGCCGUGACAGCUGGAGCAGCAGUGCUCAGUCUUGUCUCCGGGCCACGCUCUUGAUCAGUCAUGUUCACAAGCCUGACACGCUCCCAUGGACAUGGGCAGAUUUUGCCACCCCUCCCUCUGCAAGGCCACAAACGUUUUUGUGUGUUGGUAGUUGUGAAAGCACUGUACAGACUCGAGCAACUUGCCAAGGGUAUGUCAGGAGUGUAGGACUCUGGGGGGGACUUGAAUGCAGAGAAAAACCAGCUGCACCAUCUCUUCUCCACCUACUUUCCUCUUACUCAGGAAGAUGCACUGAUGUGAAAAUGACAUUAGGGUAGGUAUCAUCUCAAAUUUGCUCCAAUGUCUAUGAGAGCAAUUAUUGGAAAACCUGUGCUAUGAUAAUAAUUUUAGCUACCUCAUACUUGGUGCAAAAAUUAAGGCCCUCUAAUAUCAUUAAACAGAACUCUAAUAAGCUCCAUUUAAGAUCUGUUAUCCUGAAAUCUUGAUAUGAAUUACAAUACAGGCGAUUCUUAAUUUAUUGUUAGUUUCACCUAUUUCCAAAAAGGAAUGACAGUAACGUGUGUUUCUAAAGCACAUGAUAAUAAAACUCUUAAAAUUGAGAUAGAAGUGUUUAAACCUUAUCUAAGUAAGGUGGAUGAAGCAAAUAUAACAAACAUCCAUGCCAGGAAAGUUACGGCAAGUGCUUUAUUGAAGCUUGAGCUUUCUGAUAGCAAAAGUAAGAAAAGGAAGCAGAUGAAGAAAAACAUGCCAGUCUUUCAAGAAAAA
rnacentral:lncRNA from 1 species